GAGAUCGGACGGGAUUCGAACCCGGGUUUGCACAGUGUGAGCGUCCACUGACACCACUACACCACGAAUGC